GGAGGAAAAGAAACCAACAGGGAUUGCCUCAGUAACGGCGAGUGAAGCGGCAUCAGCUCAAAUUUGAAAUCUGGCCUCACGGUCCGAGUUGUAAUUUGUAGAGAAUGCUUCGAGCGAGGUCCGGUCUAAGUUCCUUGGAACAGGACGUCAUAGAGGGUGAGAAUCCCGUAUGCGACCGGGUGCCUUUGUUCAUGUGAAGCUUCUUCGACGAGUCGAGUUGUUUGGGAAUGCAGCUCAAAAUGGGUGGUAAAUUUCAUCUAAAGCUAAAUACUGGCCAGAGACCGAUAGCGCACAAGUAGAGUGAUCGAAAGAUGAAAAGCACUUUGGAAAGAGAGUUAAACAGUACGUGAAAUUGUUGAAAGGGAAGCGCUUGCAACCAGACUUGCACGUAGCCGAUCAUCCGGUGUUCUCACCGGUGCACUCGGUUGCGUUCAGGCCAGCAUCGGUUUCGGUGGUUGGAUAAAGGCCUUGGGAAUGUAGCUUCUUUCGGGGAGUGUUAUAGCCCUCGGUGCAAUGCAGCCUACUGAGACCGAGGACCGCGCUUCGGCUAGGAUGCUGGCGUAAUGGUUGUAAGCGAC
rnacentral:rRNA from 1 species